CAGGUACAGACAGACAGGUACAGACAGAGACAGGUACAGACAGACAGGUACAGACAGAGAGGGGUACAGACAGGUACAGACAGAGACAGGUACAGACAGACGGGUACAGACAGAGAGGGGUACAGACAGGUACAGACAGAGACAGGUACAGACAGACGGGUACAGACAGAGAGGGGUACAGACAGGUACAGACAGAGACAGGUACAGACAGAC